rnacentral:rRNA from 1 species
GACACGCUGGCGGCGUGCCUAACACAUGCAAGUCGGACGGAUCAGGGAUGACAGCUUGCUGUAGUUCCUGGUUAGUGGCGGACGGGUGAGUAACGCGUGAGGACCUACCCUGGAGAGGGGGAUAACGGCUGGAAACGGCUGCUAAUACCCCGUAAGCCGGAGGGUGAAAGGGAGCGAUCUGCUCCGGGGCGGCCUUGCGUCCUAUCAGCUAGUUGGUGGGGUAAUGGCCUACCAAGGCGAAGACGGGUAGCCGGCCUGAGAGGGCGACCGGCCACACUGGAACUGAGACACGGUCCAGACUCCUACGGGAGGCAGCAGUGGGGAAUAUUGGGCAAUGGGCGAAAGCCUGAUCCAGCCAUGCCGCGUGCAGGAAGAAGGCCUUCGGGUUGUAAACUGCUUUAGUCUAGGAAAAAGGGGUGCGAGGUUAAUACCCUCGUGCUUUGAUGGUACUGGAAGAAUAAGCACCGGCUAACUACGUG